UCUGCUCUUUUGCACACCAAUAUCUCUACCUGUACAUGACCAUCUGAUCAUUUAUCACUCCAGUGUUAUUAAUCUGCAAAAUUGUAAUUAUUCGCCUACCUCCUCAUGCCUUUUGCACACAAUGUAUAUAGACCCCCCCUUUUUUUCUACUGUGUUUUUGACUUGUUAAUUGUUUACUCCAUGUGUAACUCUGUGUUGUCUGUUCACACUGCUUUGCUUUAUCUUGGCCAGGUCGCAGUUGCAAAUGAGAACUUGUUCUCAACUAGCCUACCUGGUUAAAUAAAGGUGAAAUAAAAAAUAAAUAAAAAUAAAUACAAUUUUAGUGUUCCCUUUAUUUUUUUGAGCAGUGUAUAUACUAGCCAUAGGUCUCAGACUUGAUGAUGAGUACAAACUGUAACAUUAAGCUAGGAGCACAGCUGGGUCUGAGAGGUGAUGCUGGUAGGAGCUCAUAAACACAGCUGGGUCUGAGAGGUGAGGACAGGAGGACAGAGAGGUCUGUCUGUCUGUCUGUCUGUCUGUCUGUCUGUCUGUCUGUCUGUCUGUCUGUCUGUCUGUCUGUCUGUCUGUCUGUCUGUCACCUGUACGUGUCGUAUUGGACAGGAGGACAGAGAGGUGUCUUUGGGAGGUUCCAGAAGAUGUAUUAUACUGAGUGUGUUCAUUGUUCCACCAAAUGCCAUCAGGACGUUUGGACGGACUGUUUCCAUUGAAUAGAGAAGUGGAAGUAUACGGAGGUCAGAGGUCGUUGACAACAACCAGCUGUGUCUGGUAACUGAACAUCAUUCCUGUCCAGAAUAAGGAACCCAGCAACAUCCUACAAACACAACUUUACGACUUCCACAUUUCAGACGCCUCAUGUUUCCCAAAACGUCAGCUUCUUGAAUGUAAAACUACCCACCCUCUCCAGACCUGUUGGUGAACUGUUAUGGGUGACCCCUCAGAGCUCUCUGUCUCUCAUGUUCUCCUCUCCAGACCUGUUGAUGAACUGUUAUGGGUGACCUCUCAGAGCUCUCUGCCUCUCAUGAUCUCCCAUCCUCUCCAGACCUGUUGGUGAACUGUUAUGGGUGACCUCUCAGAGCUCUCUGUCUCUCAUGUUCUCCUCUCCAGACCUGUUGAUGAACUGUUGUGGGUGACCUCUCAGAGCUCUCUGUCUCUCAUGUUCUCCUCUCCAGACCUGUUGUUGAACUGUUAUGGGUGACCCCUCAGAGCUCUCUGCCUCUCAUGAUCUCCCAUCCUCUCCAGAC
ensembl:lncRNA